GGAUCCGAUAAUACCAGCACUAAAGCACCGGAUCCCAUCAGAACUCCGAAGUUAAGCGUGCUUGGGCGAGAGUAGUACUAGGAUGGGUGACCUCCUGGGAGGUCCUCGUGUUGCAUUCC
rnacentral:rRNA from 1 species